UACGUAGGUGACCAGCGUUGUCCGGAUUUACUGGGCGUAAAGAGCGCGCAGGCGGUCGUUCAAGUCGAGUGUGAAAGCCCCCGGCUCAACUGGGGAGGGUCACUCGAUACUGAUCGACUGGAAGGCAGGAGAGGGAAGCGGAAUUCCCGGUGUAGUGGUGAAAUGCGUAGAUAUCUGGAGGAAUACCGGUGGCGAAGGCGGCAUCCUGGACCGAGAUUGACACUGAUGAGCGAAAGCUAGGGGAGCAAACGGG
rnacentral:rRNA from 1 species